rnacentral:rRNA from 1 species
UACAGAGGUCUCAAGCGUUGUUCGGAUUCAUUGGGCGUAAAGGGCGCGUAGGCGGUGGGGUAAGUCUGGUGUGAAAUCUCGGAGCUCAACUUCGAAAUUGCACUGGAUACUGCUCUGCUAGAGGGCUGGAGAGGAGAUCGGAAUUCACGGUGUAGCAGUGAAAUGCGUAGAUAUCGUAAGGAAGACCAGUGGCGAAGGCGGGUCUCUGGACAGUUCCUGACGCUGAAGCACGAAGGCCAGGGGAGCAAACGGG